UGUUUUGUAGCCCCUGAUCUCCAUAUGGGAUUCUCUUGGAAUCUUGGAGCUGUUUGGCCUGUUGAGUCAGAGAGAAGAAAUACUCUGGAAUUUACUUGUCUGUUGAAGGAGCAAGUCUACAGGCAGUGAAAGAUAAAUUUUCUCUGAACUGAACACUUCUUCCUGGAAGACAAAGGAAAGCUCAUAAGGCUCAGGAACGUCAUGAAAUUUACAAGACCCAUAAAGCUCAGAAAGGCACAAGACUUUAAGGCUUCUCCUCAAUGUUUUAUACCGAGUAAUCAGCUGCUGGGGAAGAAAAGACUUUGCAGUGGCAAUUCCUGCUAUACAAACAAGGGAAUUCCAUGUCAUAUAUGCUGAGGUAGGGAUAUUUGGUGAUGU
rnacentral:lncRNA from 1 species